UUGAACUUUUAAAAACAACAUAAAUCAUCCAUUUAAUAUAUUUUAUUCAAAACAAAUGAAAUACCAAACCCCAAGAUCAAUUAUGUUUUCAAACAUUAUUAGUUAUAAUUCUAAAAUUUAUGAAAAGACAACAAGUUCAAUAUUAAUUCCAAAAAUCCGCCUCAAGCCAGUGUGUACAAUCAUGCCCGACCAUCCUGUGUACCAGAAAAUAGUAUUUUUAAGGGAAAAAGAUAAGCACAAAGCUUAGUGAAUUCCACACAUACACAAUAUCAUAUCAUAUAAUCCUUACCCCAUACACGAAUACAAUCGGCAGCAAACACAUAACCAUGCAUGCAUGUCAAAGAACGAAUCAAUCAGUAAAAGACAUACUCCUACCGGGACACAUUGGCUAGGCCCGAUCCCCCUUGCUCAGUACAUCGAGUCCUUGGGACACGUUGGCUAAGCCUGAUCCCCCGUACCCGAACCCAUUGGGACACAUUGGCCAUGCUUGAUCCCCCUUGCUCAGUUCGUCAAGCCUUUGGGACACAUUGGCUACGCCCGAUCCCCACUCGGAUGCGCCGAGUCCUACCAUGCAUAAUCCUCAAUACGUGAGGCAAACCACUAGACUCUACCCCGCCUAGUAAUACCCACAUAAAUAAUACAAUACAUAGCACACACGAGCUAAUGUAAAGAAGAUAUAACACAACAUGGUGUAGCGAGGAACUCACCUCAAAGAACAGAGAAACCUCCAAAGCAACCCAAAACUCACCCACACCUGCUUUCCCUUCAUGCCUCCUAAUAAUAAUAAAUUGAGUUGGUUUUAGUUAUUAAAUUGUCUUAAUUAUAAAUAUAACUAAUGGAUAAAUUUUCCAGAUUUCUACAUAAAAAUUAGGGUCUGUUCGGGACCUUUUUUCGCAAUCUUAAACUUCAUAUUUUCAAAACUGUAUCACAUGAUGAUAGAUUAGGUUCUUAUCUUUAAAAGUAGUACUUACUCGCCUCCAUAUGAUUUUAAUACAAUUUAUGGCGAAUUUUAUAAAACUGCUUCGCAUAACAGAUCAUUCCGGACCAGUCUGGGUAAAUGGUCGUUUUUACCCUAGCUAGAGGCAUUUCUGGAUUUUGGUCAAAAAUAAUGAAGUGUAGAGGACUCAAUUAUGAAACUUUGUGCACUGAUUUCGACCAAAAAGGGUUUUCCAUGAUCGAGAUAUGAUCUUUUAAAGACAGGGGCAGAUUAGGAAAAAAUCCUGAAAUCACAGCUUUGACUUUUUAGGGUUAUUUAGCUCCUUAACCCAUUAAGACCUAAUCCAAAAUAAAUUAUAACCUGGAAAAGAAGUCCUUAAUAGUAGACAUAUAGUCUUGAGUCAAAAUGACAAUUGCCACUUCUAAUCCAACUCAAAGCACAACGCUUUUAUAUGCAAAACGAAAUUAUAAUGUUAUAAGAUAAAUUAUGGACUUAGGGUUUUUAGCUUACAACAUUUCAACACCCGAGCCAUAGUACGGACCUAAUAACCUUGCUGGAAACAUCACCACCCACUGCCAUCAUGGAAUUGGUGGCCGGAGGUGGCUGCCACCACCCAAACGGUGGUGGUGGUGGGUUUUACCAAAAGAAAGGAAGAAAAGGAGAUUAUGAUGAAUAUUUACCUUGAAACAAUGGCACACUAGAAAUCAAACUUCAACUCUUCACUUGAUUGCAGCCCUAUCUCUUCCCUUCUGCCCUCUCGAUCUCAUUCUUGGUUCUCGGUUUUCUUUUCUUUACCGCUCCCUCGGCCAUAACUCAAAAUCACGCACACACACUUCACGAUUUGGAUUUUAGGGCUUCUAGGUAUAGGAUGUAUUUCAUUAAAAUAUUGGGCAAAUGGGC
rnacentral:lncRNA from 1 species